rnacentral:tRNA from 1 species
GAGGGCAUAGUACAGGGGUAGAGGACAUGCUUAGCAUGCACGAGAUCCUGGGUUCAAUUCCCAGUACCUCCA